AUUGAACGCUGGCGGUAUGCUUAACACAUGCAAGUCGAACGGUAACAGGAGCUAGCUUGCUAGCUUGCUGACGAGUGGCGGACGGGUGAGUAACGCGUAGGAAUUUGCCUUAAGGCGGGGGAUAACUCGGGGAAACCCGAGCUAAUACCGCAUAUGCUCUACGGAGUAAAGGAUGGGAUCUUCGGACCAUUCACCUUAAGAGAAGCCUGCGUAGGAUUAGCUAGUUGGUGAGGUAAAGGCUCACCAAGGCGACGAUCUUUAGCUGGUCUGAGAGGACGAACAGCCCCACUGGGACUGAGACACGGGCCAGACUCCUACGGGAGGCAGCAGUGGGGAAUAUUGGACAAUGGGGGCAACCCUGAUCCAGCAAUACCGCGUGUGGGAAGAAGGCCUUCGGGUUGUAAAGCACUUUCAGUUGGGAGGAAGGUGGAAUGUCGAAUAGGCAUUUCAAUUGACGUUACCGACAGAAGAAGCAUCGGCUAACUCUGUGCCAGCAGCCGCGGUAA
rnacentral:rRNA from 1 species